AGAGUUUGAUCCUGGCUCAGGACGAACGCUGGCGGCGCGCCUAACACAUGCAAGUCGAACGGAGUCAAGAGGAGCUUGCUUUUCUUGACUUAGUGGCGAACGGGUGAGUAACGCAUGAGUAACCUGCCCUGGAGUGGGGGACAACAGUUGGAAACGACUGCUAAUACCGCAUAAGCCCACGGCCCGGCAUCGGGCUGCGGGAAAAGGAUUUAUUCGCUUCAGGAUGGACUCGCGUCCAAUUAGCUAGUUGGUGAGGUAACGGCCCACCAAGGCGACGAUUGGUAGCCGGACUGAGAGGUUGAACGGCCACAUUGGGACUGAGACACGGCCCAGACUCCUACGGGAGGCAGCAGUGGGGGAUAUUGCACAAUGGGGGAAACCCUGAUGCAGCGACGCCGCGUGGAGGAAGAAGGUUUUCGGAUUGUAAACUCCUGUCGUUAGGGACGAUAAUGACGGUACCUAACAAGAAAGCACCGGCUAACUACGUGCCAGCAGCCGCGGUAAAACGUAGGGUGCAAGCGUUGUCCGGAAUUACUGGGUGUAAAGGGAGCGCAGGCGGACCGGCAAGUUGGAAGUGAAAGCUAUGGGCUCAACCCAUAAAUUGCUUUCAAAACUGCUGGCCUUGAGUAGUGCAGAGGUAGGUGGAAUUCCCGGUGUAGCGGUGGAAUGCGUAGAUAUCGGGAGGAACACCAGUGGCGAAGGCGACCUACUGGGCACCAACUGACGCUGAGGCUCGAAAGCAUGGGUAGCAAACAGGAUUAGAUACCCUGGUAGUCCAUGCCGUAAACGAUGAUUACUAGGUGUUGGAGGAUUGACCCCUUCAGUGCCGCAGUUAACACAAUGAGUAAUCCACCUGGGGAGUACGACCGCAAGGUUGAAACUCAAAGGAAUUGACGGGGUCCCGCACAAGCAGUGGAGUAUGUGGUUUAAUUCGAAGCAACGCGAAGAACCUUACCAGGUCUUGACAUCCGAUGCAUAGUGCAGAGAUGCAUGAAGUCCUUCGGGACAUCGAGACAGGUGGUGCAUGGUUGUCGUCAGCUCGUGUCGUGAGAUGUUGGGUUAAGUCCCGCAACGAGCGCAACCCUUAUUGCCAGUUACUACGAAAGAGGACUCUGGCGAGACUGCCGUUGACAAAACGGAGGAAGGUGGGGAUGACGUCAAAUCAUCAUGCCCUUUAUGACCUGGGCUACACACGUACUACAAUGGCGUUUAACAAAGAGAAGCAAGACCGCGAGGU
rnacentral:rRNA from 1 species